GCAAAAACUUGUGAUGUGUGUGAAAUGGCCGUAGGCCACAUCGUUGCAGACCCAAAAUAGAUUUAUAAACAUUUGAUACUUACAGAAAAUAGUCUCAAACAAAUCAUAAUAACCUCAAACUAUAAACUGAACUCUUUUGUAGCCGACUUAAACUAGAUUACAACUUGCUACACUCAAAAAACCGGUGCCACUUUCAAGACAGCUGCCAAUUCUGACUGCGACCGACUGUGACAUCUUUCAAAUUUUCCCCGGAUAAUUUGAAAACACCAGGGCCAACUCCACCACUUACUCACCCAAUUGAACAGUGCAAGUUUCCAUUCGACCACCAUAUUAUCUCGGAUUUGCCCUCAGAAUGUGUCCGUUCGCAGAACCGAAUGCUCCUUCAGUUUCUUCGAUUGUAAUGCCAAGAGUACGACGCGAGGUUGAACAGGACACGCGUGUCCGGACUUUUUAACAACGCGACGUUUUUUUACACGAGAAUAUGUAUGGUGUUUUUAUUGACAAAAGAUUAUUUUAAAGUACAAUGUUAAUUAAACUUCUUGGGCU